GGGGGAUUAGCUCAGUUGGGAGAGCGCCUGCCUUGCACGCAGGAGGUCAUCGGUUCGAGCCCGUUAUCCUCCACCA
rnacentral:tRNA from 1 species